rnacentral:rRNA from 1 species
GCUUAACUCCAUUUCGGCAGUGGAAACUACGAGGCUUGAGUGUGGUAGGGGCAGAGGGAAUUCCCGGUGUAGCGGUGAAAUGCGUAGAUAUCGGGAAGAACACCAGUGGCGAAGGCGCUCUGCUGGGCCAUAACUGACGCUCAUGGACGAAAGCCAGGGGAGCGAAAGGGAUUAGAUACCCCUGUAGUCCUGGCCGUAAACGAUGAACACUAGGUGUCGGGGGAAUCGACCCCCUCGGUGUCGUAGCCAACGCGUUAAGUGUUCCGCCUGGGGAGUACGCACGCAAGU